AACACUCACUGGGGUAAGACAGGGCUGAGUCCCGGACCCAAUUUUAUUACUGAGCAGACUCGGGCAGGGUAUCUUCCUCUCCAUGCCUCAUUUUCCUCUUACUGUGACCUCAUACAAAGGCUGCGAGGACUGGGCAUUCACUCAUUCAAAAAGGACUUACUGGGCACUCAUUCUACAAUGGCACAUACUCUAAAGAGUGAUGCCAAUGCUGCUGGACCACAGACUGAAUUUCAGAUGAUCUAUGAAAACAUAUUCUACCUGGAAAUCGAUGAAAACAGGAUUCUUCAUCCAGCUCUCAAAGAAUCUGUGGCAGUAGAAUUCAUCAAUGUGGAUGUACUUUCAUAAGCAGCCUGUGAGAUAAACUGGCAAUGACUUUGUAUUUGUGGAUGAUCUUGCAUGAUCUAAUAAAAAAAGAGUCUUGCCC
rnacentral:lncRNA from 1 species